rnacentral:rRNA from 1 species
UACAGAGGGUGCAAGCGUUAAUCGGAAUUACUGGGCGUAAAGCGCGCGUAGGCGGCUUGACAAGUCGAGUGUGAAAUCCCCGGGCUUAACCUGGGAGCUGCAUUCGAAACUGUCUUGCUAGAGUAUGGGAGAGGGAGGUGGAAUCUCAGGUGUAGCGGUGAAAUGCGUUGAUAUCGCUAGGAACUCCGGUGGCGAAGGCGAGGUGCUGGACCAUUUCUGACGCUGAGGCGCGAAAGCCAGGGGGGCGAACGGG